rnacentral:rRNA from 1 species
AUUGAACGCUGGCGGCAUGCCUUACACAUGCAAGUCGAACGGUAACGCGGGGCAACCUGGCGACGAGUGGCGAACGGGUGAGUAAUGUAUCGGAACGUGCCCAGUUGUGGGGGAUAACUGCUCGAAAGAGCAGCUAAUACCGCAUACGACCUGAGGGUGAAAGCGGGGGAUCGCAAGACCUCGCGCAAUUGGAGCGGCCGAUAUCAGAUUAGGUAGUUGGUGGGGUAAAGGCCCACCAAGCCAACGAUCUGUAGCUGGUCUGAGAGGACGACCAGCCACACUGGGACUGAGACACGGCCCAGACUACUACGGGAGGCAGCAGUGGGGAAUUGUGGACAAUGGACGCAAGUCUGAUCCAGCCAUGCCGCGUGCGGGAAGAAGGCCUUCGGGUUGUAAACCGCUUUUGUCAGGGAAGAAAAGGGCGACUCUAAUACAGUUGCCUCAUGACGGUACCUGAAGAAUAAGCACCGGCUAACUACGUGCCAGCCGCCGCCGUAAGAC